ACAGGGGUCAGGAGGGCGGGGCAGGAGGGGGGGCGGAUGGAGAAGGGUUAGAGGGUCAAAUAAAAGACAUGUUAAAAAAAAACAAGAGUAAAAACUGAAUGUGAACCAAAACGGAACCAAACAGGAUUUUUUUGGAGAGAAAAAUGAAAAACUGACAGAACAGAAAAUCAGAAGACAGGUGUGUUUUGCUGGAGGUUGCAACAGAUUAUUGUAGGGGGUUCGCUGUACGGAUGGGGGGUGUGCUGUAUAAGUUGGGGUGAUGGCUUGGGAGGGGGCUUAGGGAGGAGGAAACAAAACCAUCACAGACACGUUAGCAUGGCAGCUCGUCACACAUGAUGCAGAAACGUUUCACUGCGGAUCUGAGAAAAUACCCGGGUUCUGCAGAAAUUCACUGUUUACCCUGGAAAAGGAGGAAGAACGAUGAAAAGAGCUUCACAUCGUCACCAACAAGGUGGUUCAGACUGAGCUCUGGGUUGGCUUUUGUUCUUGGACAAACAGAACUGAACCGAUAAAUUUCAGGAAAAAACGCCUUAAACUUGGUGCCAAAGUCCAUCUGUCCUCCAUCCGUCCCCACGUCCAUCAGUCAGGUCUGCUCUGGACCGGCCCACAGGCCGUCAGACACACAGGACCAACAACCAUCCUCACACCAACAGACUGUCUGGAAAGAACCAACACAUUCGAACUUCCAAACUGAUUUUUGUCCCAAUUAGCCACUGAACAGACCUGAAGGUCAUCCAGCACAACUGGGUCUGGGUCCGUUUUAAAGUCAGGGUCUGAAACGUUUCCAGAACAUUUCAAACAACUGAAACUAUUUGAUUUUUAAUUUAUUCAG